UCCCGAGUCUCCACCUUGGCCUACUGAAGGAUUAACAAAGGCACACAUUUCAGAUGAAUAGUAAGAAACUAGAAACUUAAUAUAUAUAUAUAUAUACCAUUAAUGCCAGACACGGAGGAAAAAAGAACGACAAGAAGAUGCUGAACAAAAUUUCCCAAUGAAGGGUUUUAGAACAAAAUAAAACCAUGCAGAUGAAAAAGCAAUAAGUGUAAUAUUUUGUAUAGAAAGAUGUAGACCCAGCCACCGGACUGGUUCUGGAUCAAACCGGCCCGGAACCGUAAACCCUGGUUCUGGUCCCUGUUCCAAUUCGAUAUAGUCCAAAUCCAACCGUCCAGAUUUUUUUCCAGGUUUUUUUUUUAAUUUUUUAAAUAAAAAAGGCAGUUCGGCUCAGAACAAUCCAGUUCAAUUCUGGUCUGGUUCAUUUAUGGUCUGAGUCAAAGACAGGUUUAAAGGUUCCACCAAUUCCAGUUUUGAACCAGCCCUUGGCCGGGUUUAGAAAGAUGGAUGCUUCAUCAGCGUAGAAGAGCAUGCAUUUAUGUUGUGAAUGAAGAGAGAAUAAAGAAAAAUGAUAAGAUAAAUAUUAACUUUUUCAAAGUCAGCACAUUUUCUGGUAAAGCAACUAUAAUCAACAUAUCAGCAAAAAAAAUUAAUUAUAAUUGAUUAUUGGAUGUGGGCAUUUACUCCAUGUGUGCAAUGUGCAUGAACUUUAAGGACCAAUAUAUCUUAUUCAGUGCCAAUACGCGUUGUUUGUAUGAUAUAGAAGAUAAUAUGAAGGUCGUAUAAUGUAUCAUAAUAUAACACCCAGUCCACACUAGAAGAACAUUUCCCAUAUAUGAUGGAAGAAAUAGGUGAAUAAAGAGAUCAACUCCACAUAAGAUACAAGCUUCCUAAGCUAAAAUUUCUACUAUUCACACACACAAACAAAAGAAGAAUAAGUCCAUCUAUCAUUCAAAAUCCACCAAACUCAAAGAUACUUGUAGUAGUAAUAUUAUUCUCAAAUCACCUAAUAUCAUCAAAUAUGUCUCAAGAAAGUUGCCAUCCUUGCAAGAAAAGCAGGAUGGACACAGAGGUUCAAUCUGUAAAAGACUUUAAUACCUGUGUCCUGUAUAAUAUGGAGUAAUGUAGAGUUACCAAAUGUUACUUCCAAAGUGAAUCAAUAACCUAAGCUUAUAAGCCCAUAAUAGAUGUUUAAUUUCAUACAACUACCAGUAUCAGCUGACUGACCCCAACUUGUAUAUAGAUUAUAUAAAAAAUGCAAAUGGAAUAUUUAACAAAUUACUUCCUGUUCUCCCAUCUCAAGUAUCCUUCUUCAAACACAUCGAGUGUCUAAAAACAGAAACAGAUAUUUCAUAAAUUUAAACUUGAAAGAACAAUAAUCAUUUCAUUUUCAAGGAAAUAAUUAUUAAAUCAUUAAGUUGCAUACCGUUUUUUAUUUCCAUCUUGGACU
rnacentral:misc_RNA from 1 species